rnacentral:rRNA from 1 species
GGUGAACGCUGGCGGUAGGCCUAACACAUGCAAGUCGAACGGCAGCACAGGAGAGCUUGCUCUCUGGGUGGCGAGUGGCGGACGGGUGAGGAGUACAUCGGAAUCUACUCUGUCGUGGGGGAUAACGUAGGGAAACUUACGCUAAUACCGCAUACGACCUACGGGUGAAAGCAGGGGACCUUCGGGCCUUGCGCGAUUGAAUGAGCCGAUGUCGGAUUAGCUAGUUGGCGGGGUAAAGGCCCACCAAGGCGACGGUCCGUAGCUGGUCUGAGAGGAUGAUCAGCCACAAUGGAACGGAGACACGGGCCAGACUCCUACGGGAGGCAGCAGUGGGGAAUAUUGGACAAUGGGCGCAAGCCUGAUCCAGCCAUACCGCGUGGGUGAAGAAGGCCUUCGGGUUGUAAAGCCCUUUUGUUGGGAAAGAAAUCCAGCUGGCUAAUACCCGGUUGGGAUGACGGUACCCAAAGAAUAAGCACCGGCAAACUUCGUGCCAGCAGCCGCCGUAA